rnacentral:lncRNA from 1 species
ACAAAAUAACUGUAUGGACACAUAUACAUAUAUUGUUGUUAACAUAUUAACAUAUUCAGCAUCUAUUGACCUACCUGCUAUCUGGGAGAGCGGUGGGGGGAAGGAGGAAAACAUUUGAAAGGUUUUGCAAUUGUCAAUGCUAAAAAUUUACCCAAGCACAUAUCUUGUAAAUAAAAAGUUAUAAUUAAAAAAUGACUGCAAAUAAAAAAAAAAAGAAAAGAAAAGAAAUGAGCAAAACCAGGACUGGUCAUUGUACAACAUUGUACAACAGCAAGAUUAUACAAUAAUUCUUGAUCAAUUCUGAUGUUCCUGGCUCUUUCCAAGCAUGAGAUGCUUCAAGACAGUUUCUAUAAUCCUGUGAUAAAGAGAGCCCUCUAUACUGAGAGAGAGAGCACUGGGAACUGAGAGUGGAUCACAGCAUAGCAUCUCCACUCUUUUUGUUGCUGUUUGCUUGCAUUUUGUUUUCUUUCUUAUUUUUAUUUCCUUUUGUGUCUGAUUUUUCUUAUGCAGCAUGAUAAUUAUAUAAAUAUGUAUACAUACACUGAAUUUAACAUAUUUUAGCAUGAUUAACAUAUAUUGACUCACUUGUCAUCUACAGGAGGGAGGGGGACAACGGGAGCAAAAUCUGGAACACAAGGUUUUGUAAAGGUUAAUGUUGAAAAAUUACAAAUUUCUAUGUUUUGAAAAUAAAAAACUUAAGUAAAAAAGAAGGAAAAUAAAAAAAAGGAUAGGGACUUGGCAUUCCCAAACCUAAAAGUAUAAUAUAAGCAGCAGUUCUCCAAACCAUUUACUCUUAACUAACAGAGUGGUUGAUCAGAGGAAUAGAUUCCAGUGAUCAAGGCCUAUAUCUAGAAAAUAUUUGACAAAGCCGCAAACUCCAGCUUCUGGUAUAAAAACUCACUCUUUGAUAAUAAAUCUCAGGGAAAAGUGGAAAAUCCUAUCUCAAAAACUGGGCUUCGACCCAUGGGGUGUGCAUCUCAAAGCUCAUGCCAAAAUAUGGUCUAAAUGGAAGAGAUCUCCACUGAAACCAGAAGUGGUUCCAGAGCCCUGCCCUGGGGCCUCUGAGAAAAGUCUAUCUGGCAGGGGAGGCAGGCUUCCUAGGAGCAAGUGUUCCAAGAGAGAGCUGCGGGGGAGGGGUGGUCCCCAACACCAUCAGGCUUUCCUUGGGUACAUAUUGGCCAGGCUGACAAACCGGCCUAAUGAUUGCUGCCAGCUUGUGUCCAGGGAGAUCGCAGGUUGGACACAGGGAGUGGAGGCUAUUCUUUCCCGAGGGAGCAGUUUGAUGCACAUCAAAGAGAACUGGAUGCUGGCUUGCCUGUGGGAGUGGAACUUGGCCAGAGGGAGUUGAAAGCCCCCAGAGGGGGGAAAGAUGAUGUGCCCUCUCCUUAUUUAGCAUGGGGCUGUCCCUGGGAACUCUGAGAAGGUGUCUAAGAGUCGGGGAGCUUGGAGAGCAGGGCUGUCGUGCCUAAGGGUAAGUGUGCAGCAGCCCCGGAGCUGAUUGGGCAAGCCUGUUACCUCUCAGGGGCAAUGAGUGCCCCGGAUGUCCUUUUCCCAACAUUACAGACGACUCUCUGUGUGGGGCCACGGCUUGCAGUCAAUCUCGAAUUUCCCCUGCACACUUCCUGGUGAAGUCCUGGCUGUCAGGAUUGCCCUUUCUUUGCAGUUCUGUCAUCCCAGUGAGCAUGGGAGCCCCUGGAAUCAGUAUAGAAGUUCCCUCUCAAUCUUUUCCCCAUUUUAAAGCUUUAUGGAGGACAAUGAGCUUGGCCUUCUGAGCAGAGAUUUCCCAGGGAAGCGGUUUAGCCUCCAAAGUACUUCUGAGAGUCACCAUGGAGUCUCGUAGCUUUCUGUGCCCAUCUUCCCCCAAACUAGACCCAUCAGUGAACCAUUCGCCAUCUAGGUUGGGGAGAGAAGCAUCUCACCUAGAGCAGACUGAAUGGAAAGUUUCCUCACUACGAUGAAUAAUAGCACUGGACUGUGUAGGGUCAGGAAACAGCGGGCCGGGGGGACAAUGGGGACACAGGCAGAAAACUAAAUUGGGAGAAUCUACUAGGAGGCCCUGAUAGUUGAUUAGCCUUUGCUAGCCAGCAACAGAAAUGGCCUGGAGCUUCUAGAAUGCUCUGAAGCCCUUGGGCAGUUUUCCAAAUAGUUCAUAACUGUUGCUCAGUAACUGUUCAAAACUGUCCAAGCUUUCCCCACAGCUGGGUCUGGGAAAAUUGUGGUCCUAUGGUUAUCUUGUACAACUUUUUCUGAAUGUCUGGAGCAGCUGAAGUAAUCACACACAUGUUGAGCACAGUGACCCCUUCAGGAGAAGAGCAGUCCAGGAAAUUGGACGGUGAAUGGGGAGAAGAAAUAGAAUACUUCCCAAGGGUGAGAAUCAAUCAACCAACAUUUAGCAAUACUUGUUCAGGAUACAAAAACUUCAUUGGAAACGGGAGGACAACAAAUACAUAGAUUCAACCCACCAGAAAAUACAGAAUUGAUAGACAGGCACAUGAGAAGGCAUAAUCCUAAUAGAGCAGUUGGAGUCCGUUAGGAAAGAGGUGUACAGGGUCAUGAGGUUGAUAGCAAGGUGAGUGAAGGAGAGCAAGCAUGUGGGGAGGAGUGUUGCAGAGCAAGGACUUAGAACCUGCAUAACUAAAUGGAUGAAGGGUAGGCCAAGUAAGAGAAAAGGGUAGGGGAUGCCUGAUCCUGCAAAGCUGGGUGCCGGGAGUUGAGAAUUUCAGACAAGGGGAGAGUUUGGGGGACCAAGAUUAUGCAAUGUGUUUUGGACACAUGGAUAUUCAGUUGCAAACUGGGCAUCCAAUUAAAAAUGUGAACAGAUGUCCUAUGGGAAUUGGGGAGCACAGCAGAGGAAGCAGACUAGAGACCCAACAAUAUACCUGGGAGGGUUUUGCCUAGAGAUGACAAUUGGGGACCUCAUCAAUUUCUAGGACAUCCAAGUAGGAGGACACAGAGCAAAAAGAUGACUGGUGACAGAGGCAUAAGGGGGUCACCCCCGGGGUCCAUGACACGAAUAAAGAUCCAGUCAAAGAGGCAAGCAGGACACAUCAGUCAGUAAAGAAGCCAGAGAGAGCAGAAUUGUGAAAAAUCUGAAAAGAGAGUAUCCUGAAAGAGAAGAAAAGGCAGUCACUCCCAAAAAUGCUGCCAGAGAGAUGCAGAAGGAUCAGAAUCAGACAGUGGUCCUUCUGUUUUUGUACUAUAGAGGUUAUCAAUCACUUUUCAUUUCAAUGAGUAAAACUCCUCUGAAUGAGGAAGAGAGAAGCCAGAGUGCAGAGAGCUUAAGAGAAUGAAUAUCCAAAAGCAUUCAUUUUCCACUGUGGGUCAAAGGCUGGACUAAGCCUGGGGGUGGGAUGGAUAGGCCCAAGCCAGGCCCUGGCCUGGGGGGGAACCUCCCAGUCUGCAUGCAAACAAAUCUGUAGCAACAAGUGGUUUACAAGGAAAAUUGAAAGUAAGGAAGUUGUCCCUUGGGCUUCUCCAAGUGUGAAAGGUGGGCCAGCCCAAGCAAGAGCAAGUAGAAGAGGGUCCAGCUCUAAGCCAAAGGCCAGAUAUCUCUGAGUCCAUCUCUGCUCCCUGUAGUGCUGCUGUCUUUGCCACCCACCCUCUUCUAUUUCCUGAUUUUUUUCCCUUGGCUCAUAUAUUGCCUUUUUCCUCCACAGACUUGGCCCCACUGUCAGGUCGCCAAGGCCUCUCACCACUAGCCAACUUAUGCCCCGUGGAGUAGCCCCGUUCCUAAAAAGGGAUGCCCGCAACACCAGGGCUAACAGCCACAUGGACAAGGAGGGCUCCGAGUUGUUGGGGUCAAUCAAAGGCAGCCUCUGCAAACAGCCCAAAUCCGCAAAGCGCAAUAGGAUUGCCCCAAUGGGGACCAACCGUCAAAUGGAGGUGGCUACUCUUCAAAAAUUGAUCCUUGCACAAAGGGCCAAAAUGCUCCUCUUCAACAGGCCAUCUUCAAAGAUUUCCCCUGAGAAGGGGAUGGAUUGCUCCAUGACAGGCCAGUUCAAACAGGGAGCCCCCCCUCCCUUCUCUCUCUCUGUUUACCCACAUUUGGAGCCCCUUCCGCCAAUACCCUUAAAGGACUCCCCAAAGGCCUCAAGCCCAAGAGGCUCACCCUGCCCACCUCCCAACUGAAGCCAGCGCAGCUCCUGGGCCAGAGCCAAAAUGGAGGAGAAGACACAGGUUUUCUGCAAGCCCAGUACUUCAGCAGAGACAAUAGAAAAAAAUUCCUCACCAAAGGCAAAUAGUGAACCCCCAAAUACCAAAAUCUCAGGAGACAUGGCCACGUCCACCCAGCACCCAGCACCCAGCAGUCAGUAAAUACUGAUCCUGUGUAGCUGCUGCUACUUGCAGAGGAACUUUGGACAACCCCCCCUUACUGCUAAAACAGAUCUCAACUUAAAAAAAUAAAUAAAAAAGCAGUAAAAACUCUGACUGUAAAUUGUUUUUAUAGUGAACUAGAAGAAUAGUUUUCAGACCCUGAAGAGACUAAACACAGAUCAUCUCCAGAUGAAUCUCAAAAGGUGACAUAAAUUGGCCCCAUCACACAAGACCCUCCUAGAAGAAAUGAAAAGGGAUCUUAAGAGAGAGAAGCAAAAUGGGUAAACAAGACAAAAAUUUUGCCAAGAAGGUUUGGAAAAGGCAACACAAAAUAGAAAAUGAACAUGAAAUAGAAAAAAGCCCCAGAAAAACAAAACUUGUGAAACAGAAAAAAAAAGAAAAGUCCCUCAAAAAACAGAAUUUGAAAUGGAAAAAAUUUCAUACAACAAAACAACAGCUCAUUCAAAAAUUCAAUUGGACAAAAAAAAAGUAAAUAAAAAAAGUAAAUGAAGAAAAAAUUCACUAAAAUCAGAAUUGAACAAAUGGAAAUGAAUGACUCAAUGACAUGAGAAGAAUCAGUCAAGCAAAAUCAAAGAAAAAGAAAAAAAAAGGGAAAAUUAGGUAUUUUACAUUUUUUCCUAAAUGGGAAAACAAGUGAUCUGGAAAAUAAAAUCUAGGAGAUACUGUCUAAGGAUUAUUGGCCUUCCUGAAAACCAUGAUGAAAAAAAAAAAGACUAUUUUUCAGGAAAUCAGAAUCAGAAGAUAAAAUAGCCAUUGAAAAAAUUCACCAAACAUCUCCUGAAACAGACCCCCAAAAUGAAAACUCCAAGGAAUCUCGUGGCUAAAUUAUAGAACUAUCAGGAAAAAAUAUCACAGCCAGAAAAAAAAUCAAAUAUCGAAGAAGCACAAUAAGGAUUUCCCAGGAACCUAGGAGCUUCCUCCUUAAAGGAUGGAAGGGCCUAGAAUCUGAUAUACUGAAAGGUAAAGGAACUUGGAAUUCAGCUAAACAUAAAUUAACCCUGUAAACUGAGCAUUUUCUUUCAGGGAAGAAGAUAGACAUUCAGUGAAACAGGUGACUUCCAUUUAUUGCUUAUGAAAAGACCUAAACAGAAUUUGGACCUCCUUAUAUUGAAAUCAAGAGAAGCAUAAAAAGACCUAGGAACCGCUGCUUGGCAGAAGGCUCUGCCAACAGGUCCUAGGGAAUCCUCAGCCAGAGUCGACCUCACCACAUGGCGCCCUGGUGUGGAAAAGAAAAGUAAACUAACUCAACCACCAGGCUAAAUAUCUGUCCUCCACAGAAUUGGCUCCACUGUCAACAGAAGCUUCCACCAAUGGGCCAAGGUACUCCUCUUCCUCAAUUGACCUUGCUUCUUUAUCAUACAUUGGGUAAAAAAAAAGAAAGAAAACCAAACAGGCAGACUCACCUCAACCCCUCCUAGGAUGAAUGUGUGCCCUCCAGAGAUUUGGUCCCAACACCUGGCAGAAGCCCUUGCCAACACGCCAAAAGAUCCUCUUCCCCAGUCGAACAGAAGGCAUUCUGCCAGCUUUGGAAAAAGCCCCCCUCUCCCCAAACACACCGACCCCACUCACUGUCCAGUCUGAAACUCAGCCCUCCCCAGCUGUGGUCCCACCGCCUGGCAGAAACCUCUGCAAAGGGGCCAUGGUGCUGCUUGUCCCCAGUCUUAUCUCACCUCACUUCUCUUGAAAACCGGAGGGAACAGAUGCCUGACAUAAACCUCCAGCCUUCACCGUGGUGCCAGCAGCUGGGCAGGGCUGGCCAAGUCCCUACCUCUGGAAGAAGUCAGUCUAUGGGCUGACCAAUGACCACCUCACCCCUCUCAGCCCACUCUGCCCUCAGGCUGCAGCAACUGCCUGCCACAAGCAUUUGGAACUCCAGCCAAAGGCCCCAGGAAGAAACUCAGCUACCCUUAUGAAGGAAAAUUGUGAAACCCGACCAUCCUGUUCACGAAGAUGUGUAAAUUCAGAAUCAAGAAUUGCCAAUUGGGCAUGAAGUACCAGCCAGCCUUGGUCCCCAGGUCUCUGGCUCAUUGCAUAUCCUAAACAGUAUAGGUAUUGACUGUGAAAAAUUGAAUAAAAUUUUGUUUUAAUUUUAUUUUUUGUAGUGUUUAGUAAAUUUAUUUUAAAUAAGGAUUGCUCUAUGAAUCCUGUUGGGAAAGAAAAACCAGAGCAAAAGGGAAUAACCAUGGGAGAGAGAAAAAGAAAAAAGAAACAGCAUAUACUGUUUUACAUUCUUUCUCUGUAGUUCUUUUUCUGAAUGCAGAUGACAUUUGCUUCCCAAAGUCUAUUGGAAUUGCUUGGAUCACUAAAGCACUGAGGAGAAACAAUUUUUUCCUAGCUCAUCAAGACAAAUUCUUGCGAUUAUUUUGUCCAAAGUAUUCUUCCUUCUGCUUGUUCGAGUCGGCAUCAGUUCUUGUAAAUCUGUCCAGGCCUUUCUCAAAUGAGCUUCUUCAUCCUUUCUUAUAUAAUGCUAAUAUUUCCUCACCUUCAUAUCCAGCCACAUCUUGUUCAGCCAUUCUCCACCUGAUGGACAUCUACUGAUUUUCCAUCACUCUUCAAAAAGAUUUCCAAUGUGGAUCAUAACUCUACUGGUGGUUAUUGUUUAUAUUGUCAAAGGUGAAAAUCUAUGCAAGCAAGAAGAAAGGGGAACAACUGACCAUUCAACCUCAUUCUCUUCUGAAAUGAUCAAACGAAGGAAGAUUCAUACACAUUCAACUGGGUACAGAAAUUCAUUUCACUUAAGAAGGCAACAUGAAGGAAAAAGAGGGGACAAGAGGAAGGUAAAGAAAAGGCAGACUAAGGUAUUAUGGUGUUGGUUGUGGCGUUCAUUCCUUUCAAUCUUGGUGAUGACUCCCUGUGAUCCCUGAAGUAUGUUGUGGGAACAAACAAUCUGAGUUCUUAGGAACCAUUACCUUUAUGGGCAUGAUCUGCUCCUAGUGGCUUACUUUUGAUGUUACAUGAACAGCUGACCCCUGUUGCCAGGAAAACACUUCUCAUGAGACAUUGGGUGGUGAAGUGGAGAGAAUACCACACCUGAAAUCAGGAGGACCUGAGUUCCUCCCCCAAUAUCCUGCGUAGCAUACCGAAAUCAUAAUAGAAAUCUGGAUUAGGCCUUAAAGUCCUAAUCAAAUACGGCAAACUUAGAAAAUAAGACAAAAGGAAUUUAUUAAUACUUCAAGGGAGUAAUAUACAUUGAAUUGAAUCUGUGCUGCCUCUUUUAUGGAGAGGGUGAACAAUUUCCACAUAAAAGACCAUUUUGUUUGCUUCACUUUACAAAUGAGGAGAUGGUUUAGUCCUACCUCAUUUAUUGAUUGAUCCACAUUUUAAAUGAAAAAAGCAAAUUAGUGAGUAUGUGCCAUCACUAUCUUAUGUAGACUACCUGCCUCAUAUUGAAAGUUAAAAGCAAAGUUUUCAAAAUAGAAUCUCUCAAGAUGGACUCAACAGAAAUCUCUGACUUUCAUUUGGUUACACUAAGUAUUUCACAGUAAAGUAGUAUUUGUAAGUUUCUUUUUUUGUCUUUUUAUUUUGAAUGGUAUUUUAUUUUUCUAAAAACAUGUACAAAUACUACUUGGCAUUCAUUUCUGCAAGAAUUUGGGUUCUAAAUUUUUCAUCUUCCCUCCUUUCCUCAUCCCUAAGAUAACAAGCAAUAGGUAUGAUUCAAUAUAAACAAUGCUUUUAAACAUAUUUCCACAUUUCUCAUGUUAUGAAAGAAAAAUCAAAGCAACAGGGAAAAUAACUACCAGAAAGAAACAAAUAAAUGGAAAAAAUGAAAAUACUAAGCUUUUGGUCCACAGUCAGUCUCAAUAAUUCUGAUACUUGAGGUGGAUGGCAUUUUCCAUCCUAAAUCUAUUGGAACUGGUGUAAAGUAUCAUUUUUUUAUGAAUAAACUGAAAUAAAAAUACAUAAUAAAACAUAAAUAAUACAAAUGUAUAUAAAUAUACUAUUAAUCAACGUAAAUACAUUUGAUAAAUGAAAAAUCCCAAUAGUAUAUCAUGGUAUGUAUCCUAAAGAGCAAACAGAGGUGGGGAGUAGAUAUUACAGUAUGCUUUCACUCUACCAAUUUAUAUAUGUUAGUUUUAUUGUUAAGUGUCACGUGUCACUUGCUUAGAACUUUAUUUUAUUGAAUUAUUACAAUACUACAUAAGUAGCUUAUUUCUAUUUGGGUUUUUUUUGAAUAUUUCCUACAUUUAAUCAAGCCACUGAUUAGGUAUAAGUAUAAGAUGUAUGAAAAGGCUUGUGACCAUUUUUUAAACCUGGAAACUAAGAAUCAUCCUGAUUUUAGAAGUGGUCAUUACCCCCCAAAAAAACACACACUAAAAGGUUAAAGAACUCGAUAAUUGCAAGGUGAUUUAUAGCAAAUCAUUUAGCCAACAGUGCAUGAAGUACAUCUAUUGGAUAAUUUCCAAAUGUAGAAAGGCUCAAAGUAAGAGGUACAACUUGAGAACUACUCUGCAUACCUCCUUCCAAAAAGCAGGACUUGUUCAAGAGAAGAGAAGAGCAAUGGUUUCUUGCACGGGUAGCAGAGGGCAGAAGGAGAGAAGAGAGAGAGUCAUGCUCUUCCCCUCCCCUUGACUAGAUAAUAGCCUUGUGAACUUUAAAGAUCUGCAGCAGUGGCAUCCACCAGAUCAGGAACUAUAAAAGUGACUAUUAGCCACAUCCAUAUCGAGAACUGAGAAGCACUUUGAAGUGAAAGUGGAUACACCGAGGAAAGUCCUGCAGAACAUUCUACCUUAUGGGAGACAUUGUGAGGACUCCCCAAAGAGAGAAAAAGAUUUCCAAUCAUCAGGAGUGCUAAAUUUACUGCUUAUGAUAUCACUUUAGUAAAUACCUAUAUUUUUGGAGGCAGUCAGAGUUGUGUUUUGCCCAGAGUCACACAGCUAAUAAGUCUGAAGCUACACUGAGCUAGGUCUUCCUGACUCUCUAUCCACUGAAUCAUCCAGCUACCCCAGAAAUACAUAUUUUCUAAAGGCGAAGUGAAUCUGAUUGGCUUGUAAUUAAGGGGAAGCUCAUGAAGUUAGUAUUAUCAAACUCCUCCCAAGACCUUAACAUUAAUACUAGAAGGUUCAAGGGAGAAGUAGUCAACCAUCUUCUGAUAAUCUCAUCCACAUUCUCUGGGGUUUGAGAGCAUGAACCCAGAGAGGGUGCUUCACCAUGGAUGAAACAAGCAGGUUGAAGGAAAUAAUUUAGAUUAAAAAAAGGAAAACACUUAAGAGAAGAGCCAACUCCGGGUCAUGUAUAGGAGAAACAUAUAGCUCACAGAAGCUAGGUUUGCUCUAACAGAAAGAAACGAUUCUCCUAGCCUGAAGCUAGUGUCCCUGAACCAAACCAAGAAAAAUCAUGUGGGGCAAAACUGAGGUUAGAUACAUCAGAGGGAAGGGACAACUUUUCUCUUGAAGGAUCAGGUCUUCCUGGGGAGCAGUGUUGAAAAACCUAGCCUCAUACAAUAUACCUAUGUGUCAGUAGCAACAUAAUUCACAAGCAAUAUUUUGGUGCCAAUAAAAUAGCGGGCCAAGUAUAUGCUGCAUUCACUGAAUCCUACAUUUCCAUAUGAAAGGAGAAGUCUAAUGUUGUGAUUUUAUGUGAAUUACAUAGAAGAGAUGGUUAGAGUCCCACAAUAAGAUCUGAAAGAUAGAAAGUACAAUGAUUUAAUAUAUCGCAAAAUAAUAACUCAAUUGGACAGUGGAGAAUGUAUGCAAAAUCAAUCAUACUUUGAAGAACUGAUAAUAAAUUCACACAACGAAUUACAAAACGAAUAACAUGAACUUCCCACCCCUAAGUAGCUCAAUAACAGACUCUGAAGCUCUAUAGGAAAAGAGAGGCAAAGCAAGGCAGUAAAAGCGUUAUUCAUGAAUUAAUAUUACCAGAUGAGUAUCAGGAAAGGAAAACUGGCCUUCAAUUAAAAAAACAUGGAGAAGGAGAUUAUACACAGGUUAGAUGCCUAAUGAAGAGAAUGUAACACUGCUGAUAUAAGACUGAACCCUUCAAGACCAAUACAGGACAGACAAAAGAAAUGGCCAGAAAAAGGAGACAGACGAGGCUAGGGAAUGUUAACCCAAAUCCCCCAAAUAGGAAUCAAGACAAUUCUUAGAGGCAGGGCGAAGAUGGCAGAUUCCAGGAAGCAAUUCAGCAGAACGCUCUCAAAUUUCCCUUCUAAACAACAUGGAAAUCAUUCCAUCAAAUUUUGGAACAGCAGAGUCCAUAAAAGGUUGGGAGGAGACAUUUUUCCAGUAGAAGACAACUUAGAAAGUCAGCAGGAGAAUAUGUGACACAGAGGUGGGGGCCAGCCAAGAACCCAUGCUCUGGGCAGCAACCAGUGUGGAGUCUUAGGAGUGGCUACAACAGCCACUGCAGUAGUUUUAGGAGCUCUCAGGUCAGAGACAGUAAGGGGAGAGACAGACAGACUAAUCAGAAGGUGAUUACAGGGCACUCUUGGCUGGCCCUGGCUACAGCUGGCAGUAAUUGGCGACACUACUUCCCAGAUGCACUUCUGGGACCCAGUUCUAGAGUGGAGAAGAGCGCUUGCGGUCAGUCACAAAGGACCAGUUGCCUGAUGUUACGGGGGAGAAGGGGACCUUGAUUCCUUCCUGGGUAGCGACAGAGCACAGACCAAGAGAGCAAAGGCAGAGCAAGAGAGCAUCCUAUCCCCAGAUCACACCCCUGUGGAAGUCCUGAAAACUUGCAAACUCCCAGAACUAUGAAAAGAGCAUUUGACAAAAAUCUUAUAUUGAGGACAAGGUCUUCCCAUCUCCAGGUGACUAGUGAUCAACUUUAACAUAAAGUUCAAAGUCAACAAAUAGGCUGGAAAAAAUGAGUAAACAAACAAACAAAAAAGACCAUGAAAAGCUACUAUGGUAGCAGGGAAGACCUGAGGCAUGAUCUCAGAAGAUAACAACAAUGUGAAAAUAACUGCAAGCCAAGGCCUGAAAGGAAAAUGCUAGUUGAGCACAAGCCCAACCAGUAUUCCCAGAAGAGUCACUGAAAGUGAUACUAGUGUUAGAUGGAAAUUUGUGAAAUGAAAUCGAAAUGCAAUAAAUUAUGAAAAAAGAACUCACCAUUUCUUAAAAGAAAAUAACACCUUAAAAAAGCAAAAUUGACCUAAUGGUAAAAGAGGCACAAAAAUUCACUGAUAAAAAGAACUUUUUCAAAAGCAGAAUUGGCCCAAUGGGAAAAGAGGUACCCAAGUUCCAUGAAGAAAUUAAUUCCUUAAAAAUUAGAAUUAGGCAAAUGGAAGCGAAUGACUCCAUGUGAUAUUAAGAAACAAGAAAAGAAAGUCAUAACCAUGUGAAAAAUCUCAUUACACAAACCAUGUGAUUUGGAAAAUAGGUCAAGGAGAAAUAAUUUAAGAUUACCUAAAAACCAUAAUUGAAAAAAUAGCCUCGACAUCAUUUGUUGAGAAAUGAUAAAGAAAAACUGCUCUGAUAGCUUAGUUCCAGAGAGUAAAAUAGGAAGGAAAAGAAUCCACUAAACACCUCCUGAGAAAAGAUCGCCAAAUGAAAACUCCCAGGACUAUUGAGCCAUAUUCUAGAGCUCCCAGGAGCUCUUAUUGCAAGAAAGAGAAUUUAUUGCAAGCAUCUAGAAAGAAACCCUUAAAAUAUCAUGUUGCUACAGUCAGAAUCGCACAAGAUUUAGCAGCUUCCAUGUUAAAGAAGCAGAGACUUUAGAAUAUUUCAGAAGACAAAGGAGCUAGGAUUACUAGCAAGAAGAACUUACUCACCAUAACUAAGCAUAAUUCUUCAGGAGAAAAAAAAUCAAUGCUGAAUAAAAUAGCAAGUUCUCAUCAGAUAUUCCUGAUCAUAAAAACAGAUCUGAAUAGAAAAUUUGACAUUUAAACACAAAACUCAAGAGCAACAAAGGUAAACAUGAAAGAAUAAUCUUAAGGGAUCCAAUAAAAUUAAAGUAUUUACAUUUUAUAUGGAACUCCUAGGAACUUUAUUCUUAGGGUAUUUAGAACGAAUCUACAUAGUUAGGGAACAAAGGUGUGUUGGUUAUUAGGCUGACCUCAAAAAAAAAUGAAAGGGUAAAAAGGAGAGAUGUCCUUGGAUGUACUCGCAGAUGUACUGCCCUAGAAAGAGGGCAGAGAAAGAGGGAUGCACUGGGAGAAAGAAAACAGGAAAGGAAAAAUGAGGAAAAUGUCCUCAUUUUAAAAAAGAGCUCAAAAAAGACCUUUAAAAUUUUUAAUAGGUUUUUGAUUUCCAAGAUAUAACAUUCACGCUUGCAAAACCUUGUGUUCCAAAUUUUUCUCCCUCUCUUCCCCCUCCCCUUUCCCCCAAACAGCAAGUAAUGCACUAUAGUUUUAACAUGUGCAACUCUUCUAAACAUAAUUCCAUAUUUAUCAUGCUGCAUGAGAAAAAUCACAUCAGAAAAGGGAAAAAAUUGUUUAAGUUAAAAAAAAAAAGCAAAUAAUGGUUCUCUGCUGUGAUCCAUAUUCAGUCCCCACAGUCCUCUUUCUGGAUGUAGAUGGCUUUCUCUAUCACAAGUUUAUUGGAGUUAGCCUGAAUCACUUCAAUGUUGAAAAGAAUUAAGGCCAUCACCUCUGAUAAUCACAUCUUCUUGUUGUGGCUAUGAAUAGUUCUCUAUUCUAAUCACUUCACUUAGCAUCAGUUCAUGCAAGUCUCUAGGCCAAUCUGAAAUCAUCCUGCUGAUCCUUUUGUAUAGGACCAUAAUAUAAUAUUCCAUUACUUUCCUAUACCAAAACUUAUGCAGUCAUUCUCCAACUGAUGGGCUUCCACUCAAUUUCUACUUCCUUGACACUACAACAGGGGCUACUAUCAACAUUUGUGCACAUGUGUUUCCUUUUCCCUUUUUAGGAUAUCUUUGGAAUAAACACUCAUGCUGGAUCAAAAGGUUUGCACACUUUAAUAGCCCUUUGGGUUUAGUUCCAAAUUGGUCUCCAGAAUGACUGGGCCCGUUCACUACUCCCCCAAGCAUGUAUUAGAGUCCCAGUUUUUCCAAAACCCUCUAACAUUUAUCAUUAUCUGUUCCUGUCAUCUUAGUCAAUGGAGAGCUUUUAUAGUAGAGGAGAAGGGGAAAGGGGAUGUCAGGCAACAUUUGAAGCUCAUUUUCAUUUAUAUUGAUUCAAAGAGGGAAGACUAUAUGGACAGACUCAUUGGGGAUAGAAAUCUAUCUUUCCCAAGAAAGAAUUGGAAGGGAAAAGCAAAAAUGAGAAAAAGGACCAAAGAUGAUGAAAGAAGAGCAUGGGUUAAGGAAGGCAAUGGCCAGAAGUAAAACAUCUUUGAAAGGAGAAUGAGAUUUAUUUUUAAAUAGAGCAAAGGAUAAACAAAACAAAACAGGUUUGAGGGCAAUACAUUGUUAUAAUCAAAGUUAAAGAUGUGGAAUGUUCUGUAAUUUGAAGUGACCAUUGUGUUAUCAUUAUUCUAUAAGACAAAUAUGAGAAAACAGUACUAUUGAAAGGGCUUCAACUUGGAAGACUGUAGGCAAAAAGUAUUUUUUCAAAUCUAGGCUACAUGAGAAAUUUCCCUAGGAAGUGGAAAAUACUGCACAUACUGUGCCUCUGGCACGUCAACCCCCCUAGUCUAUGAGUGGAGUAUUGCCACUAAAUGGAAUCAGUUCUAGGCUGUUCAAGACAUUUUAAAUAACUCCACACUUUUAUUAUCUGUGCAGCAAGUGCAGAGUUCUCUAGAAGAAUAGAGGCAAAUGGUGAGAGCCUCCAUGACAAAAGCAUUAGCACAUAUGUUGCUGGGGUCCCCAGCUAGUGCAGACCUGCUGACCCCAACUGGUGCCCGAGCACUUAGCCAAUUAUCAUCUUCUCUACGACCUCCGGAGAGGGACGUCUCCGUCCCUGGUUAUGACGGAGUCAUUCUGACAUCCUUUAUGAAGUUAAAAAAGCUUUAUUGCUUGGCUCCAUCAUCUUGUCUGUCCUCCUGCUUCCUCUCUCUCGUGCUUCCCUACAUCCCUGCUCCCGGGCUUCCCUGCUUCUCCCCUCUCCCUCUGCUGCCCUGUUCCUAUGCCCCUCUCAUCUCCCCCGCCAACGUGCCCCAGCAACAAGUAGGUCUUUAGCUUGUUCAUGAAGGAGCCCAACUCCUGAGAUGGUGGAAGCGAUCUCCAUUUGGUGCAUGCUCAAUGCCUGGCCAGGCCUGGCUACCGAGUGUCUACCCCGGGCCUGCAGCCAGUGAGGCAGAACUCACACCCGGGGCCUCAACAUCCAUUCCCAAGACUGAGCUGAGGAGAUCUAAACAGCCAAAGACCACAAGGGUCAAGUUUACACAAGACUUGUCUUUGCACAGACUUGUUGCUUAUGCAAAUGGGGUAUUGUGUGCAAGCUACAUGAUGAAGGGUCUCCAGAUUAAUGCAGACUCUUGGUAUUCUGUUCCCUAGCCUUCUUCUUGCUAGGUACUCUAGCAAUAUAGUUUGUAGGUUUUACAUAUAUAUGCAUUUUUUCCAUAUUUCCAUAUGAGUCUCCACAUGAGAAUUGAGGAGAGAAAAUUCAGAAAAAAGGGAAAAUCAAGAGGAAAAAAAAGGAGAAGGUGAAAAUGGUAUGCUGCUAUCUGCAAUCAUCCCCAUGGUUCUCCCUCUGGAUGUGGGCCAUUUUCCAUCCAAAAUUGAUUGGAAUGGCUUUGGAUCACAGAUUUUCUGAGAAGAGCCAAGUCUACCAUAGUUGAUUCUCAUGCAAUCUUGUUGUUGCUUUGUAAAAUGUAUUCUACUUGCUUCACUCAGCAUCAAUUCAUGUAAAUCUUUCCAGGCUUUUCUAGCAUCACAUAAGCCUGCUCAUCAUUACUGUGUGGAAUGGAGAGAUAAAGUGAAGAAGUUACAGGAAUGUUUAAAUACUUUUUCUGUAUUUUUUAUUAUGUCUAUGUCUCUGUGACCUGCCUAAGUCAGGUGUGUGCAAGUCAAUAUUUACUUAAAACUUUAGAUAUCUUUACUUAAGCAGAAAUGAUGACAUUUAUCCUUGUUCAAUGUUAUCAAUAUUUAGAUUAUUCAAAGCCAUCAGCUCAGUAAUCUGAAGUUUGAAGGCCUGACUGAUGAUUCCUCUCAGAAUCAGGGAAACAAAGCAUUCUGUUCUCAUCUGCCUUUGGCACCAAUGGUUCACAUUCAAUUAGGGGAGAAGGCAUCUAUUUCUCAAUGCUCCCCAACCUAUGAUGUAUUCCUUUGCAACCAAACCUAUAAAAUCCAUAUAUCUUUCCUAAUUCUUUAGCCCUUCUACUGGGAGCUUUCUCUUUCCCUCCUCGCAGUGGAAUUGCUCAUUCUCAUGAGAACUUAUUAAUCAAUAACUUUUCUGCUUUCUACUGACUGAUCUCUGAGUAGUCAUUUUGGCUAAGGGACUUCUUCAUCCCUCACAUUACUUUAAUAUAUCAUAAUUUAUUCAGCUAUUUCCCAAUUGUUAGGCAUGUACUCAUUUUACAUUUUCUUUGCCACCACAAAAAGAGCUGAUAGGAAUAUUUUGUUCAUAUAUAACUUUAUUCAAGUUUUAUCAUUUUGGGGGAGAAGCAGCACUGGUGUAUCCAAAGUUUUUCAAAGGCACAUUUUUAUAAGCCUUUGGGCACAGUUUCAAAUUGGUCUCCGAAAGGGUUGAAUCACUUCACAAUUCUACCCACCAGAUCAUUGGUUAUUUUCACCUAGGGAGGAAGGAAGGAAGCAAGAAUGGAGGGAGAGAGGAAGGAAUAGAGAGAAGGAGGGGGAGAAAGAAGAAAAAGAUACAAUUGCAUGGAGAUUUCUGGCUUUUGAGCAGGAGAAAUAAAAUGGGACCAAAAAAUCAUGGCAAGAUCUGGAAGUUAUCAGAACUCUCUUAUUAGACAACCAGUGGAUCUCAGAGGUGGAUUCAUGCAAGGCUCCUAUCAAAUUCUUAAGGCAGAGGAAAACAAAAAGUUUUAGCUAGAUUUAUCAGUGCCAUGCAAAUUUAAGGUGGAAUCAGAAUCAGAAAAUCAAUAAGCAUUUACUAAGCCUAGGCAUCUUGCUAAGUGUUGAGGAUACAAAGAAAGAUACAAAGGUUCAUAAGGCAGUCUAUGUGCUCAAGGAAAUAAUUGUCUAAUAGGAAAAAGCACACAAAAAAGCUGAAAAGUUGGGGAGGGAGGGAUAAGGAGAAAAGAAGAAGGUAGGUCCAAAUGUCUACCCUCCCAGAGAAGGGGGGGGCUUCUGGAGCAAAAGGUGCUGAAGAGGAGUGAGUUUCAGCAUGGAUUCCAUUUUGCACAAUGGAAAUGAUGAAAGAGCUGACUGGGAGUUUUGUUGAAUGGUUUGACAUUGAGAUCAUUUUAAA